rnacentral:misc_RNA from 1 species
GAUGAAGAACGCAGCGAAAUGCGAUACGUAAUGUGAAUUGCAGAAUUCAGUGAAUCAUCGAAUCUUUGAACGCAUAUUGCGCUCUCUGGUAUUCCGGAGAGCAUGCUUGUUUGAGUAUCAGUAAACACCUCAACUCCCUUUUCUUUUUUGAAAUUGGAGCUGGACUUGAGUGAUCCCAACGCUUUCUUCCAAGAAAGUGGCGGGUUGCUUGAAAUGCAGGUGCAGCUGAACUUUUCUCUGAGCUAUAAGCAUAUCUAUUUAGUCUGCCUAAAAAACAGAUUAUUACCUUUGCUGCAGCUAACAUAAAGGAGACUAGUUCUUGUGCUGACUGAUGCAGGAUUCACAGAGACAGCUUCGGCUGACUUUGUAAACUCGAUCUCAAAUCAAGUAAGACUACCCGCUGAACUUAAGCAUAUCAAUAAGCGGAGGA